AUUGCAUCUCGGCCUUUUGGCUAAGAUCAAGUGUAGUAUCUGUUCUGAUCAGUCUACCUUGACUUGAUGGCUCAGGUCCUUUGGGUACCCGCUGCACUCGGCCUUUGGGCAUCGGCGAUUAAAUUUGUCUUAAGCUCAUUGCUCCUAUUGGGUGUAGGGCUAUUCCCUGAGAAAGAUAGAGUUCUG